UCUGAAAUGUGAAGGGCAUAGCUUCAGACCUAUGCACUGCACAGCACACUUAGGCUCAGCAUUAGAUAUGAUGUUUCCUAAAUACUUGAAGAGCGUUGAUCUGAUCACUCUUGGGGGAGUGAGUGGUUGCACUGGUUGAGAUGUUGACCAACAUCAAGAACAGGGUUAUGAGAAGGGCCAUUCUCCCAGGGACGAUUGCGGGGGAUGUCCUUAAGCUGGAUUUUGACUAUACCCAAGAGACCAAGACGAAGAGCCCGGCGGGAAGAAAGUAGUCGAUGAGAAAGGGUAGAUAUUUGCGACUCAUUGUGACGGUGACACCAAUAGCUGAGUACUGUUCUGAGAUCCCAUUGAGAUCUUUAAAGAUGGUGAAUCGCCUAUGAUCCUCUAGGACCGUAAAGGAUACUGCAUGCUCCAGAAUGGUUUGGGUCUUCCAGAGGAUUCCCGUGGUAUUAUUCUCAUAUUCAAAUGAUAUCGAAGCAUCUGUGUGCUCCAAACUUUGAACUUUGAAAUCACAAUGGUGAAUGUCAAAGGGGAACAGAUCAAAAAUCAUAGGGCAAAGAAAGGUAACCUAGAAUCACAAGAAUUGCAAGUUCAUUAACUCGUCUUGCCAUACUGGUUGGUGAUAAAUAAUGAAUUACUUCGGCGUAGUGGGAAUAAAUGAUAGUUUUGUUCGUAUCAAUGUCAAUCUUGAUGCCGGGAUGGUCAAGAAAUCCUGUGUUGGAUUUAUCCCUCAAAUUCGAUAUAUACAGGUCUGGAAUCCAGAUCUUGUUCCGAUUCUCAUAAGCAAUCUCCAGCGUUGUUUCCGCUCCCCUUAA